ACACGUGGGCAAUCUGCCCUUCACUCUGAGAUAAGCCCUGGAAACGAGGUCUAAUACCGGAUAACACUCUGUCCCGCAUGGGACGGGGUUAAAAGCUCCGGCGGUGAAGGAUGAGCCCGCGGCCUAUCAGCUUGUUGGUGAGGUAAUGGCCUACCAAGGCGACGACGGGUAGCCGGCCUGAGAGGGCGACCGGCCACACUGGGACUGAGACACGGCCCAGACUCCUACGGGAGGCAGCAGUGGGGAAUAUUGCACAAUGGGGCGAAAGC
rnacentral:rRNA from 1 species